AGUAAUGAACAGUGUAAAACCCACCAUCUACCACGCAUCCAAAUACCCACCGCCCUUCUCCUUUCUAUAAAACCUAACCCUAACCCAUAUGAAACAGAGUUCAGAGAGAGAGAGAGGUUAGAAGAGCUGGGUGACAGAGCCGGCGAAGUCUCCGGCUUCGACACGGUGGACGCGCCGCACAUGGCUCUCCGGCGUCGACAUGACAGACGGGUCCGCCGUACAUGGUGGUGGGGUUAUUUCGGGUAACCGCAACGGCAGCCAACAGUGACGAUGGUUACCGUAUGACCGUUUUGAGCAACGACGGUCAUCACAGUAAGAGAGACAAGGAGAGAAUCAGAAGAGAAAGACUGCGAAGGAGAGGCAAUUUGAAGGAUUUUAUAGGUUCACCCGCAAGAGGGGUUCGUAGGGAAUGGGUUCAAAUCGCCUUCUGGUGAUGGGUCUAAAGAGACGCCCCUGCGUAUUGACUGUUUGACCGAUGACGGACGUCAAGCUAAACAAGGUGGUUCAAGUUUUUCAGGCAAUACUUUGGCCGGUUAAGCGGAAUUUAGUGGAGGUGGUGAUGAAUACAUUCAUGUUCGGGCGCGAAGAGGUCAAGCUACCAACAGUCAUAGUCUUGCAGAAAGAGUGAGAAGGGAGAAGAUUAGUGAAAGAAUGAAAUUCCUACAAGAUCUUGUACCUGGAUGUAGCAAGGUCACCAGCAAAGCGGUUAUGCUAGAUGAAAUCAUUAACUAUGUACAGUCACUACAACGACAGGUCGAGUUUUUGUCGAUGAAACUUGCUACCAUUAGUCCUCGAAUGGAUUUUAACCUUGAAGGACUCAUGGCAAAAGACGCGAUGGAAUCGCGCUUGGGACCUUCUGGCUCGCUUGGUACUGACAUGGCAAUGCCGUAUGCUCUUAAUCAAUCAUAAAUGGCGAUUAUGCAAGGCGGGAUUUCUGGUGUUGGAAGAAGUUCAGAUGUGGGAAGAAGAACGGUUAAUUCCCCUUUGAUGUCUAUCAGUGGAGGAUUUAAAGAUCCUACUUCACAGUUGUACGUGUUGGCAAUCAUGAUUGUGAAGUAAUACUUUUGCGAUAUCUUGACUUACAGCAAGGUGAUUGAUAUUGUUAUUGUUUAGGUUGAAUUUGUAUUGUGCAUGAGGUGAAUGGCAAAGGGAUGCAGAAGGAAAAGAGGUGAUGGUUCAACAUACCAGCUAAUGCCAGCAUACACCUGCUCCGCUCACUAUUGACGAGGAUAGGCAUGUCGAAUCGCCUUCAAUCUUACGGGCAUGGACUAUAUGCAUUUUGUUGACUAAUUGAUUAGUGUUUACAUGAUACAUGAUAAUAAUUGCCUAAGCACACUCUGUGAUAUUACUGUGAUGUUAGUUUGCAUGUGAAUCGUUACAAACAUAAACUGAUUGUGUAUACGUGUGCAUCAUUUGUUUUGUUUUUAUAUGUAUGAAGCAGAAAUACAUUUUGUUCAUAUCAAUCAUGAAGAUCAAAACGCAGCUAUUGUCAUUCUUUAAACCAUCCCAUUAUUGAACAGGUAGCACCUUUUCUGAAACAUGCAACAGGAAGCAUAACAAGGAAUGAUUUGGUCAUAGGUAAGGUAGGUGGUAUUUCAUGAAGAAGUUGGUAACAAUUUAGAAGUUAUUGUAUUUGUAACUAUUUAGAAGUUAUGUAUUUGUAAAAGUUCAGUUUAAUAGAUUUGUAUGUUUUACAA